CAGCAGCCGCGGUAAUACGGAGGGUGCAAGCGUUACUCGGAAUCACUGGGCGUAAAGCGCGCGCAGGCGGCCUUUUAAGUUGGAUGUGAAAGCCUAUGGCUCAACCAUAGAACUGCAUCCAAAACUAUCAGGCUAGAGUGUGGGAGAGGAAGAUGGAAUUAGUUGUGUAGGGGUAAAAUCCGUAGAGAUAACUAGGAAUACCAAAAGCGAAGGCAAUCUUCUGGAACAUUACUGACGCUGAGGCGCGAAAGCGUGGGGAGCAAACAGGAUUAGAUACCCUGGUAGUCCACGCCCUAAACGAUGAAUGUUAGUCGUCGGGUAGCUAGUCUAUUCGGUGAUGCAGCUAACGCAUUAAACAUUCCGCCUGGGGAGUACGGUCGCAAGAUUAAAACUCAAAGGAAUAGACGGGGACCCGCACAAGUGGUGGAGCAUGUGGUUUAAUUCGAAGAUACGCGAAGAACCUUACCUAGCCUUGACAUAUUUAAGAACACUUUAGAGAUAGAGUGGUGCCUUCGGGAGCUUUUAUACAGGUGCUGCACGGCUGUCGUCAGCUCGUGUCGUGAGAUGUUGGGUUAAGUCCCGCAACGAGCGCAACCCUCGUCACUAGUUACUAACGGUUCGGCCGAGGACUCUAGUGAGACUGGCUUCGUAAGGAGGAGGAAGGUGAGGACGACGUCAAGUCAUCAUGGCCCUUACGGCUAGGGCAACACACGUGCUACAAUGGCCAGGACAAUGAGACGCGAUACCGCGAGGUGGAGCAAAUCUAUAAACCUGGUCUCAGUUCGGA
rnacentral:rRNA from 1 species